rnacentral:rRNA from 1 species
UACGAAGGGGGCUAGCGUUGUUCGGAUUUACUGGGCGUAAAGCGCACGUAGGCGGACUAUUAAGUCAGGGGUGAAAUCCCGGGGCUCAACCCCGAAACUGCACUUGAUACUGCCUUGCUCGAGUACUGGAGAGGAGAUUGGAAUUUACGGUGUAGCAGUGAAAUGCGUAGAUAUCGUAAGGAAGACCAGUGGCGAAGGCGAAUCUCUGGACAGUUACUGACACUGAGGCACGAAGGCCAGGGGAGCAAACGGG